rnacentral:rRNA from 1 species
ACUCCUACGGGAGGCAGCAGUGGGGAAUAUUGGACAAUGGGCGAAAGCCUGAUCCAGCAAUGCCGCGUGAGUGAUGAAGGCCUUAGGGUUGUAAAGCUCUUUUACCCGGGAUGAUAAUGACAGUACCGGGAGAAUAAGCUCCGGCUAACUCCGUGCCAGCAGCCGCGGUAAUACGGAGGGAGCUAGCGUUAUUCGGAAUUACUGGGCGUAAAGCGCACGUAGGCGGCUUUGUAAGUUAGAGGUGAAAGCCUGGAGCUCAACUCCAGAAUUGCCUUUAAGACUGCAUCGCUUGAAUCCAGGAGAGGUGAGUGGAAUUCCGAGUGUAGAGGUAAAAUUCGUAGAUAUUCGGAAGAACACCAGUGGCGAAGGCGGCUCACUGGACUGGUAUUGACGCUGAGGUGCGAAAGCGUGGGGAGCAAAC